rnacentral:rRNA from 1 species
AUUGAACGCUGGCGGCAUGCCUUACACAUGCAAGUCGAACGGUAACAGGUUAAGCUGACGAGUGGCGAACGGGUGAGUAAUACAUCGGAACGUGCCCAGUAGUGGGGGAUAGCCCGGCGAAAGCCGGAUUAAUACCGCAUACGACCUAAGGGUGAAAGGGGGGGAUCGCAAGACCUCUCGCUAUUGGAGCGGCCGAUGUCAGAUUAGCUAGUUGGUGGGGUAAAAGCUCACCAAGGCGACGAUCUGUAGCUGGUCUGAGAGGACGACCAGCCACACUGGGACUGAGACACGGCCCAGACUCCUACGGGAGGCAGCAGUGGGGAAUUUUGGACAAUGGGCGCAAGCCUGAUCCAGCCAUGCCCCGUGCGGGAAGAAGGCCUUCGGGUUGUAAACCGCUUUUGUCAGGGAAGAAAUCCUUUGGGUUAAUACCUCGGGGGGAUGACGGUACCUGAAGAAUAAGCACCGGCUAACUACGUG